AAGUCGUAACAAGGUCUCCGUAGGUGAACCUGCGGAGGGAUCAUUACAGAGCUCAUGCCUCACAGGCGGUAAGAGUCUCCCCACCCCUAUGUUAUCAUUACCAUGUUGCUUUGGCGGGCCGGUCAGGCUCACGCUCGGCUACCGGCUCUGGCUGGUAAGCGCCCGCCAGAGGACCUCAAACCCUGAAUAUUCGUGUCGUCUGAGUACCAUAUAAUAGUUAAAA
rnacentral:misc_RNA from 1 species